rnacentral:rRNA from 1 species
UAUGAACAAAAAUAGUUAAGGUCUUUAUAAUUCAAAGAAUUUGGCGGUUAAUUUAAUUUUUAGAGGAACCUGUAUUUUAAUUGAUAAUCCACGUUAAUAUAAACCUUUUUAUAAUUUGUAUACCUCUAUGAUAUAAUAAUGUUUUAUAAAAGAAUAUUUUAUUUUUGUUUAUUCAAAAAGUUUAGGUCAAGGUGCAGUUUUAAAAGGGUUAAUAUGGGUUACUUAAAUUAAUAAUUUAAAGUGAUAUUUUAAUUAUUAAAAUAUUUUUUUAGGAUUUGAAAGUAAAUAAAUUUAAAUUAUUUUUAUUGAAAAU